UACGUAGGGUGCGAGCGUUAAUCGGAAUUACUGGGCGUAAAGUGUGCGCAGGCGGCCGCGCAAGUCGAGUGUGAAAGCCCCGAGCUUAACUUGGGAACUGCGCUCGAAACUACGUGGCUGGAGUGUGGCAGAGGAAGGUGGAAUUCCAGGUGUAGCGGUGAAAUGCGUAGAGAUCUGGAGGAACACCGAUGGCGAAGGCGGCCUUCUGGGCCAACACUGACGCUCAUGCACGAAAGCGUGGGGAGCAAACAGG
rnacentral:rRNA from 1 species